UACGAAGGGUGCAAGCGUUACUCGGAAUUACUGGGCGUAAAGCGUGCGUAGGUGGUUUGUUAAGUCUGAUGUGAAAGCCCUGGGCUCAACCUGGGAAUGGCAUUGGAAACUGGCGGACUCGAGUGUGGCAGAGGGGGGUGGAAUUCCGCGUGUAGCAGUGAAAUGCGUAGAGAUGCGGAGGAACACCGAUGGCGAAGGCAGCCCCCUGGGCUAACACUGACGCUCAGGCACGAAAAGCGUGGGGAGCAAACAGG
rnacentral:rRNA from 1 species